rnacentral:RNase_P_RNA from 1 species
AAGGUACAGCAGGUGAUUGCUGGCAAAUGCCAGAGGAAAGUCCGGGCUGCAAUGAGACAAGGUUCCAUCUAACAGAUGGCUGGGGUAACCCAAGGGCAAGUGCAACAGAGAGUAGACUACCAUACUCCGGUAUGGUAAAAGGUGAAAGGGUGAGGUAAGAGCUCACCGGUACUCUGAGCAAUCAGGGUAGCCAGGUAAACCCAACCUGCAGCAAGAAGCGUAUGGUAAAUGUCUCAUAAUAAAACGCUUUGCUAAAACUCUUUUGUAAAAAAGAGUUUAGAUAAAUAAUCACCCACGACAGAACCCGGCUUAUCGCUGUACCACUUAC